GACGUAGGGCGCGAGCGUUGUCCGGAUUUAUUGGGCGUAAAGAGCUCGUAGGCGGCUGUUGCGUCGGACUGUGAAACCUGCGGCUCAACCGUGUGGUCUGCAGUCGAUACGGGCAGGCUGGAGUUCGGUAGGGGAGACUGGAAUUCCGGUGUAGCGGUGAAAUGCGCAGAUAUCAGGAGGAACACCAGUAGCGGAAGGCGGCACUCUGGGCCGGAUACUGACGCUGGAGGCACGAAAGCGUGGGGAGCAAACAGG
rnacentral:rRNA from 1 species